UUAGAGUUUGAUCCUGGCUCAGGAUGAACGCUGGCGGCGUGCCUAAUACAUGCAAGUAGAACGCUGAAGGAGGAGCUUGCUCUUCUGGAUGAGUUGCGAACGGGUGAGUAACGCGUAGGUAACCUGCCUGGUAGCGGGGGAUAACUAUUGGAAACGAUAGCUAAUACCGCAUAACAGUAGAUGUUGCAUGACAUCUACUUGAAAGGUGCAAUUGCAUCACUACCAGAUGGACCUGCGUUGCAUUAGCUAGUUGGUGAGGUAACGGCUCACCAAGGCGACGAUACAUAGCCGACCUGAGAGGGUGAUCGGCCACACUGGGACUGAGACACGGCCCAGACUCCUACGGGAGGCAGCAGUAGGGAAUCUUCGGCAAUGGACGGAAGUCUGACCGAGCAACGCCGCGUGAGUGAAGAAGGUUUUCGGAUCGUAAAGCUCUGUUGUAAGAGAAGAACGAGCGUGAGAGUGGAAAGUUCACACUGUGACGGUAUCUUACCAGAAAGGGACGGCUAACUACGUGCCAGCAGCCGCGGUAAUACGUAGGUCCCGAGCGUUAUCCGGAUUUAUUGGGCGUAAAGCGAGCGCAGGCGGUUAGAUAAGUCUGAAGUUAAAGGCUGUGGCUUAACCAUAGCACGCUUUGGAAACUGUUUAACUUGAGUGCAAGAGGGGAGAGUGGAAUUCCAUGUGUAGCGGUGAAAUGCGUAGAUAUAUGGAGGAACACCGGUGGCGAAAGCGGCUCUCUGGCUUGUAACUGACGCUGAGCUCGA
rnacentral:rRNA from 1 species